UCGAGCGGUAACAGGGGAAGCUUGCUUCCCGCUGACGAGCGGCGGACGGCUGAGUAAUGCUUAGGAAUCUGCCCAGUAGUGGGGGAUAGCCCGGGGAAACCCGGAUUAAUACCGCAUACGUCCUACGGGAGAAAGCAGGGGAUCUUCGGACCUUGCGCUAUUGGAUGAGCCUAAGUCGGAUUAGCUAGUUGGUGGGGUAAAGGCCUACCAAGGCGACGAUCCGUAGCUGGUCUGAGAGGAUGAUCACCCACAUCGGGACUGAGACACGGCCCGAACUCCUACGGGAGGCAGCAGUGGGGAAUAUUGGACAAUGGGGGCAACCCUGAUCCGCCAUGCCGCGUGUGUGAAGAAGGCUUUCGGGUUGUAAAGCACUUUCAGUACGGAGGAAAACCUUAUGGUUAAUACCCAUGAGGCUUGACGUUACCUACAGAAGAAGCACCGGCUAACUCCGUGCCAGCAGCCGCGGUAAUACGGAGGGUGCAGGCGUUAAUCGGAAUUACUGGGCGUAAAGCGCGCGUAGGUGGUUUGGUAAGCGAGAUGUGAAAGCCCCGGGCUUAACCUGGGAACGGCAUUUCGAACUGUCAGACUAUAGUGUGGUAGAGGGUAGUGGAAUUUCCUGUGUAGCGGUGAAAUGCGUAGAUAUAGGAAGGAACACGAAUGGCGAAGGCAGCUACCUGUG
rnacentral:rRNA from 2 species